AUGAAAGCUGACAAAAUUACCGCCUUGAACUAUAAUCCGGAGUUUAUCCCUGAAGCUCCUUCUAGGUUACAUGCAGGAACACAUUCAAUCAAAUUGUCAAAUUGCUGUUUUCUUCUGCAGAUGGGAUUUUCCAACAGGAGCAGAAAGUCAGUCGGAGAAAAGUUGGAGCUGCACAUCCUCAGUCUUAGGAUCAUGAGGAACAAAUGAAGCAAUCUAUAGAAGACAUUUAUUACAUCCGUUAAUGUGAGCUUUUAUCAUAACGAGUUCUGAUUUAAUACUGGGAAUCCAUUUCUAGAAUUUAGGAAGGAUGUUUGUGGAGACUAUUUUCUACAUACAUUUAAAAGCAAAAUACCCUCUAAAUAGUCUGAGGUGGCUUACUUUUGAUUUUGCCUGCAUCUGGAUGUGCAGAUGUGCCUUGAAGAUCCUCUACCACCUUCUGAUCUGUCACUUUUCCCCAAGUUGUUCCAUUUCUCUAUUCUUGCUGGGUUUUCUUCAAAAUGUGGUUGUGUAGUCCAUUCUAUCUCUAAAAAAGAACAUUUUUAAAUUUAUGAUACCAUUUACUUUUUUAUUUUUUUUUUUUUAGACAGGGUCUCUUGUUGCCCAGGCUGGAGUGCAGUGGUGCGAUCACAGUUCACUGCAGCCUCAACCUCCAGGAGUAAGGUCAUCCUCUCAUCUCAGCUGCCUGAGUAGCUGGGACUAUAGGCAUGCACCACCGUGUCUGGCAAAGCUUUUUGUUUUUUGCAGAGAUAAGGUUUCGCCAUUUUGCCCAGGCUGGCCUUGAACUCCUAGGCUCAAGCGAUUCAUACUCCUCAGCCCCUCAGUGUGAUGGGAUUACAGGUGUGACCAUUUAGCCUGGCCAGUUACAUAGACUUUUCUGUAGGCUAGUUUCAAUUUUAGCUAAAAACAAAAAAACAGCCAAUGAAACAGAAAAAUAAAAGUUCUUCUAAAAAUAAAAUAACAUUUCAAAAUAAUUUCAGUUAAAAAUCUAAAUUUUAAAUAUAUAUAUAUAUAUAUACACACACGCACACACACACACCCUUUUUUUUUUUUUUUUUUUGAGUCAGAGUCUCGCUCCAUCACCCAGGCUGGAGUGCAGUGGUGCGAGCUCAGAGGCUCACUGCAAGCUCCGCCACCUGGGUUCACGCCAUUCUCCUGCCUCAGCCUCUGGAGUAGCUGGGACAACAGAUGCCCGCCACCACGCCUGGCUAAUUUUUUGUAUUUUUAGUAGAGACGGGGUUUCACAGUGUUAGCCAGGAUGGUCUCGAUCUCCUGACCUCAUGAUCCGCCCGCCUCAGCCUCCCGAGGGAUUACAGGUGUGAACCACCACGCCCAGCCUUAAAUAAUAUUUUUAAGGCUAAAUGAUAGAAGAUUCAAAAAAGGCUAGGUAAAAAAAUCACAGGGAAGAUACAACUGUAUCUUCAUUCUCUUGUAUCUCCAUUUGUUCACUAACUCAUGGAUUCAUUUCAUAAUAGAUACAAUGAUCAGGAACCUACUGAGUGCCCACUGCUUGUUAUGCUGGCUGUCUGGGUGGGUGCAGAAUGAUCAGGAACCUACUGAGUGCCCACUGCUUGUUAUGCUGGCUGUCUGGGUGGGUGCAGAAUGAUCAGAAUGAUCAGGAACCUACUGAGUGCCCACUGCUUGUUAUGCUGGCUGUCUGGGUGGGUGCAGAAUGAUCAGGAACCUACUGAGUGCCCACUGCUUGUUAUGCUGGCUGUCUGGGUGGGUGCAGAAUGAUCAGGAACCUACUGAGUGCCCACUGCUUGUUAUGCUGGCUGUCUGGGUGGGUGCAGAAUGAUCAGGAACCUACUGAGUGCCCACUGCUUGUUAUGCUGGCUGUCUGGGUGGGUGCAGAAUGAUCAGGAACCUACUGAGUGCCCACUGCUUGUUAUGCUGGCUGUCUGGGUGGGUGCAGAGUUCUGCAGUCCAUGAUUCCUUCCCUAGGGGAGUUUGGGAAAAGUUUGCACAUGAAAACAGCAUGCUAAUUCGAAAGUUACAUAGAAUUUUGAGAAAAUAGUGCAAGUAGUGUUUUAAGAAAGCAUUUAAUAUUUUUCAUUUCUCUUUCCAAAUAGUAUGAAUAAACAUAAGAAUAACCACUGUUCAUUUGGCUCAGCCAGACUUAGACCAUCUUCCACUCCUUUGCUUCUGAAACACAUGGACUCCUUAUGACACAGAGCUAAUUUGAUAGACUAGUUCUUACAAGGCCUAAUCCUGCUUCUCUCAAACUAAAGUCACUGUAGUUAGACAGUUUGAAUGAUGAAUUAAUUAGGAGCAAAGAUCAGGUAGUAGUAAAUGUCAAAAGUGGAGAGACACACAGAAAAUAUAAGAAUCGUCAUUUGUAGCUUAUUCAGACCUUCUCUUUUAUCACUGGCCAUGCUGAGUAAGGUUUUUGAUGAAGUUGGUUAUCACUUUGAAAGAUGAGAAAAUAAAAAGUCAUGAGUGCAUAGGAACAUAAAAUUUUUAAUUGAAAAGAAAUAUUUUCUAAAAUAAAUGUAUGUUAUGAUAUGCUGAGUCCUAUGUCAAGAACUACAAAUAAAAAGUAAAGGUGUUGUUUUCUUUAUUCUCAGGGUAGUCACACUUAAUGUGACAUACACACAAAGAAACAAUUAUAUUUGUUAUGUGGAACAGGGACAAGGGCACAAUAAACUUUUGGGGAGAUUUACACAUUUCACAGAGACUGAGAUAUGCUAUGCCUUGAAGAAGUGUUUCAGGACUCGACAGUUUUUGUCCACGUUUGGGCCCUCAAUCCCUCUUGUAAUAAGAUUUAACAUGUUCAAACGUGCUUAGGUUGCUCAUAAGUUGGGUUAAAAUACUAUCUUCAGAAAUCUAUACAUAAUAAAUAUGCAUGGUAAAAUUUCAAAGGUUACCCCUUUUAAAAAAUAAAGAAGAAUAAACUAUAUAUCUGUAAGAAGUGGAAAAAUGGAGAAAGAAGACAAACAAAAAAACCCGGUUAAUCCUAAAAUACUAAAGGAAAGAUAGAAAGGAAGAGAAAUAAUAGGGAUAAUAGAAAGUAAGAAAGAAGAUGCUAGAACUUAAUCACAAUAUAUAUAAAUGGGCUAAAUUGAGCAAUUAAAAGAUGGCCAAUUAUCAGGUAGGAUGAAGUAAAAAUUACUGUCAUGUGCUAUUAUCAGGAAACACACCUAAAAAAUUAAAAAGUUAACAUAAAAAACUGGAAAAAUAUUUUUCAGGAAAAAAGAAGCUGGAAUAAUUAUAUUAAUGUCAGAAAAAAUAAACUUUACGAUUAAAAAGACUGACAAGAUGUACAGAGAGAUACUACUUAGUGAUAAACAUUUUAAUUUACCAUAACUGCAACAAUUCUAAUCAUGUGCGCUUAAGAAAAUAUCUUCAAAGUGUAUAAAUUGAAAAUUAACAGAAACAUCUGGAAAAAUAAAAAUUAUUAUAGUGGGGGAUUUCAAUAUAUUAUGUCUCCAAGUUGAUAGGUUAUAGAAACAUAAAUUUUCACAAGCAUAUGGAAUUGACAAAUACAAUUCGAAAAUAUUUAAUAGGCACAUAUAGAAUGAAAAAACAAAUCAUGGCAUGUUUACGUAGUCAAAUAUGAUACAGCAGUGAACAAGACAGAACUAAGGACUAUAUGUAACAAGAUGGUGACAAUAAGAAGUGUAAGAUUAAGUGAAGAAAAGACAGAGAAAAAAAGACCACAUUGUUAUACUAUUUUAUAAAGCUCUAAAACAGACAAAGCUAAAAUCAUUGCCUAGGGAUACAUAGGCAUACGAUGGAGUUGUAUUUUUUAAAAAGUAAUAAAUUAAGUGGCAUAGCAACUUUGGAAAACAGGUUAGCAGUUUCUUAUAAAGUUAAAGAUAUACUUAUAAUAUUGACCAGGAAUUCCACCUCCAGGAAUAAGAAAUGAAAACAAGAUAAAUGAAAUUGUAUCCAGUACAAACACUUGUAUUCAAUGCUCAUAGCAACUUUAUUCCUAAUAGCCCACAAUGGAAACAACCCAAAUCAUCAUCAACUGGUAAAUAGAUAAACAAUUUAUGGUCUAUCCAUACAAUGGAAUGCUA
ensembl:lncRNA